CCUACGGGAGGCAGCAGUGGGGAAUAUUGGACAAUGGGCGAAAGCCUGAUCCAGCAAUUCCGCGUGUGUGAAGAAGGCCUUCGGGUUGUAAAGCACUUUAGUGGGGGAAGAAACAGCUUGGCCACACCAAGCCUUGACGGUACCCCAAGAAUAAGCACCGGCUAACUCUGUGCCAGCAGCCGCGGUAAUACAGAGGGUGCAAGCGUUAAUCGGAUUUACUGGGCGUAAAGGGUGCGUAGGUGGCUAUUUAAGUCGGAUGUGAAAGCCCGGGGCUCAACCUCGGAAUUGCAUUCGAUACUGAGUGGCUAGAGUUCGGUAGAGGGCGGCGGAAUUUCCGGUGUAGCGGUGAAAUGCGUAGAUAUCGGAAGGAACAUCAAUGGCGAAGGCAGCCGCCUGGGCCUGGACUGACACUGAGGCACGAAAGCGUGGGUAGCAAACAGGAUUAGAUACCCUGGUAGUCCACGCCGUAAACGAUGAGAACUUGACGUUGGUUCGUUUUACGAAUCGGUGUCGCNGCUACGACGAUAAGUUACUCCGUCCGUCGGGGUAGGUACGGGCCGGCCGAACGGUUAGGUAAACGUUAAAACGUUAAGUAAGUUAGUACGGACGUGUAGACGUCGCCGACGGACGACGACGAGGGAGGUAGG
rnacentral:rRNA from 1 species